ACUCCCACCAAGAUUUCAACUUGGAUCAGCGGCUUGAAAAACCACCGUUGUACUUCAACUAUAGGAGC
rnacentral:tRNA from 1 species